UGAGGAAUAUUGGUCAAUGGGCGGUAGCCUGAACCAGCCAAGUCGCGUGCGGGACGAAGGCCCUACGGGUCGUAAACCGCUAUCGCCGGGGAGCAAGGGGCGCCACGCGUGGCGCGGCGAGAGUACCCGGAGAAGAAGCAUCGGCUAACUCCGUGCCAGCAGCCGCGGUAAUACGGAGGAUGCGAGCGUUAUCCGGAUUCAUUGGGUUUAAAGGGUGCGCAGGCGGAGCGCCAAGUCGGCGGUAAAAUCGCGGGGCUCAACCCCGCCCGGCCGUCGAAACUGGCGCCCUUGAGUUGUCGAGAGGUAGGCGGAAUGCGCGGUGUAGCGGUGAAAUGCAUAGAUAUCGCGCAGAACCCCGAUUGCGAAGGCAGCCUACCGGCGGCAAACUGACGCUCAGGCACGAAAGCGCGGGUAUCGAACAGG
rnacentral:rRNA from 1 species